UACGAAGGGGGCUAGCGUUGCUCGGAAUCACUGGGCGUAAAGGGUGCGUAGGCGGGUUUUUAAGUCAGGGGUGAAAUCCUGGAGCUCAACUCCAGAACUGCCUUUGAUACUGAGAAUCUUGAGUAUGGGAGAGGUGAGUGGAACUGCGAGUGUAGAGGUGAAAUUCGUAGAUAUUCGCAAGAACACCAGUGGCGAAGGCGGCUCACUGGCCCAUUACUGACGCUGAGGCACGAAAGCGUGGGGAGCAAACGGG
rnacentral:rRNA from 1 species